GAGUGACACGAGAGGGUCAGAGAGCUGGGGUGCGGCAGCGCAUGAUUAGGACAGGAGCAGGAGGCCUGCUUCUGCCAUUUUCAUGCACUGCCUCUUCCCUGGCUCCUUCAUUCACUCGUGCUUAUGAC